GAUGAACGCUAGCGGGAGGCCUAACACAUGCAAGCCGAGCGGUAGAGUUUCUUCGGAAACUUGAGAGCGGCGCACGGGUGCGUAACACGUGUGCAACCUACCUUUAUCUGGGGGAUAGCCUUUCGAAAGGAAGAUUAAUACCCCAUAAUAUAAUGAUUGGCAUCAAUUAUUAUUGAAAACUCCGGUGGAUAGAGAUGGGCACGCGCAAGAUUAGAUAGUUGGUGAGGUAACGGCUCACCAAGUCAAUGAUCUUUAGGGGUCCUGAGAGGGAGAUCCCCCACACUGGUACUGAGACACGGACCAGACUCCUACGGGAGGCAGCAGUGAGGAAUAUUGGACGAUGGGUGAGAGCCUGAUCCAGCCAUCCCGCGUGAAGGAUGACGGUCCUAUGGAUUGUAAACUUCUUUUGUACAGGGAUAAACCUACCCUCGUGAGGGUAGCUGAAGGUACUGUACGAAUAAGCACCGGCUAACUCCGUG
rnacentral:rRNA from 1 species